rnacentral:rRNA from 1 species
UUGUUGGUAAGGUAAAAGCUUACCAAGGCUUCGAUCAGUAGCUGGUCUGAGAGGACGACCAGCCACACUGGGACUGAGACACGGUCCAGACUCCUACGGGAGGCAGCAGUGGGGAAUUUUGGACAAUGGGGGCAACCCUGAUCCAGCCAUGCCGCGUGAGUGAAGAAGGCCUUCGGGUUGUAAAGCUCUUUCAGCCGGAACGAAACGGUUACGGAUAACACCCGUGACUACUGACGGUACCGGAAGAAGAAGCACCGGCUAACUACGUGCCAGCAGCCGCGGUAAUACGUAGGGUGCGAGCGUUAAUCGGAAUUACUGGGCGUAAAGCGUGCGCAGGUGGUUUUGUAAGUCAGAUGUGAAAGCCCCGGGCUCAACCUGGGAACUGCGUUUGAAACUACAAGACUAGAGUGUGGCAGAGGGGGGUGGAAUUCCGCGUGUAGCAGUGAAAUGCGUAGAGAUGUGGAGGAACACCGAUGGCGAAGGCAGCCCCCUGGGUCAACACUGACGCUCAGGCACGAAAGCAUGGGGAGCAAACAGGAUUAGAUACCCUGGUAGUCCAUGCCCUAAACGAUGUCAACUAGUUGUCGGGCCUUUACGGGCUUGGUAACGUAGCUAACGCGUGAAGUUGACCGCCUGGGGAGUACGAUCGCAAGACUAAAACUCAAAUGAAUUGACGGGGACCCGCACAAGCGGUGGAUUAUGUGGAUUAAUUCGAUGCAACGCGAAAAACCUUACCUACCCUUGACAUGUAUCGAAGCCCGCAGAAAAGCGGGGGUGCCCGAAAGGGAACGAUAACACAGGUGCUGCAUGGCUGUCGUCAGCUCGUGUCGUGAGAUGUUGGGUUAAGUCCCGCAACGAGCGCAACCCUUGUCAUUAAUUGCCAUCAUUUAGUUGGGCACUUUAAUGAGACUGCCGG